CUGUGGAGUAUCAUCAUAUGGUGCCCUGAGCUUAUCCUUCCCGCCACCAUCACCAUCAGAAGCCUUCAACUUUUCCUUCCCUACACCAGCAGCACCAGGUGGGGACUGUGAUCUCUCUGGGGAAGAACCACGUGCAUUCACAGAAUUUGUGAAACCCCUUGUACCAUCUUUGUUGUAAGGUGAAACACGCUGCCGCUGUGGUGGUGGUGAUGACUGAGGCUUCUGCUCCAUGGCUGAUUUAUGGAAACUGCGCAUGGGAGAGCGUUCCCGAAC
rnacentral:lncRNA from 1 species